CAACUACUCCCUCUGUCCCAAAUUUCUUGUCUUAGAUUUGUCUAGAUAUGAAUGUAUCUAAUACUAAAAUGUGACUUCAAACAUCCGUAUCUAGACAAAUCUUCAAACAUCCGUAUCUAGACAAAUCUAAGACAAGAAUUUUGGUACGGAGGGAGUACUUU
rfam:Triticum urartu cultivar G1812 contig1044299, whole genome shotgun sequence.